GGCAGAUGAUGGCUUCUCUCACGAUGGUCUGCGAAUGCCUGUGUGGGCACUGCCGAUAACGCCAGUGGCUCAGCUGAUGCCAGCAG
ensembl:snoRNA SNORD35A small nucleolar RNA SNORD35